CACCAGCUCCCAGCGGUUUGCAGAGAACAGCAGGUGCACCGUGUGGUCCUCCAGAUCGCUCUUCUUCUCCAGGUGUGACGAUGUCAGAGGAGCGAGCGCUGCGUCUUACUUAUGGCACAGCUGACCGAUGCCAUCUAAAGGAUGCAGGACUCCUGUAGAAGAUUCUCCAUGUGCGAGGAAGAACAGCACUGGCCGGUGUUUUGACAAGGCCUGCAAUGACACAACAGUAUGAUCACACAGGAAAAAUACAGAGCACCAAGCCUUACCUAUCCUCUCAGCCAUAUCUGCUGCUCGCUCUCCCCAUAUGCCGUUUACUGCCAUCAGUACGCUCUCCCCAGGCUCCACUGCGUUGAAGAUGGCACACUCCAUGGCAG